rnacentral:rRNA from 1 species
GGCCCUUCGGGGUACACGAGCGGCGAACGGGUGAGUAACACGUGGGUGAUCUGCCUCGCACUCUGGGAUAAGCCUGGGAAACUGGGUCUAAUACCGGAUAUGACCUUACAUCGCAUGGUGUUUGGUGGAAAGAUUUAUCGGUGCGAGAUGGGCCCGCGGCCUAUCAGCUUGUUGGUGGGGUAAUGGCCUACCAAGGCGACGACGGGUAGCCGGCCUGAGAGGGCGACCGGCCACACUGGGACUGAGACACGGCCCAGACUCCUACGGGAGGCAGCAGUGGGGAAUAUUGCACAAUGGGCGAAAGCCUGAUGCAGCGACGCCGCGUGAGGGAUGACGGCCUUCGGGUUGUAAACCUCUUUCGACAGGGACGAAGCGCAAGUGACGGUACCUGUAGAAGAAGCACCGGCCAACUACGUGCCAGCAGCCGCGGUAAUACGUAGGGUGCGAGCGUUGUCCGGAAUUACUGGGCGUAAAGAGCUUGUAGGCGGCUUGUCGCGUCGAUCGUGAAAACUUGGGGCUCAACCCCAAGCUUGCGGUCGAUACGGGCAGGCUUGAGUACUUCAGGGGAGACUGGAAUUCCUGGUGUAGCGGUGAAAUGCGCAGAUAUCAGGAGGAACACCGGUGGCGAAGGCGGGUCUCUGGGAAGUAACUGACGCUGAGAAGCGAAAGCGUGGGUAGCGAACAGGAUUAGAUACCCUGGUAGUCCACGCCGUAAACGGUGGGUACUAGGUGUGGGUUUCCUUCCACGGGAUCCGUGCCGUAGCUAACGCAUUAAGUACCCCGCCUGGGGAGUACGGCCGCAAGGCUAAAACUCAAAGGAAUUGACGGGGGCCCGCACAAGCGGCGGAGCAUGUGGAUUAAUUCGAUGCAACGCGAAGAACCUUACCUGGGUUUGACAUACACCGGGAACCUGCAGAGAUGUAGCCCCCUUGUGUCGUGUACAG